UUGACCUCAAAUCAGGUAGGACUACCCGCUGAACUUAAGCAUAUCAAUAAGCGGAGGAAAARAAACUAACAAGGAUUCCCUUAGUAACUGCGAGUGAAGUGNNAAAAGCUCAAAUUUAAAAUCUGGUGGUCUUUGGCUGCCCG
rnacentral:rRNA from 1 species